CUACUACUCCCUCCGUUCGGAAUUACUUGUCGCAAAAAUGAAUGUAUCUAAAACUAAAAUACAUCUAGAUACAUCCAUUUCUGCGACAAGUAAUUCUGAACGGAGGAAGUACUAU
rnacentral:pre_miRNA from 1 species